CACAGUGUAGCAAUACAUGGGUGGCGACCGGCAAACGGGUGCGGAACACGUACGCAACCUUCCUUCAGGCGGGGAAUAGCCCAGAGAAAUUUGGAUUAAUACCCCAUAAUAUUUUGAGAUGGCAUCAUCUUAUUAUUAAAGCUACGGCACCUGGAGAUGGGCGUGCGGCUGAUUAGGUAGUUGGCGGGGUAAUGGCCCACCAAGCCUACGAUCAGUAGCUGAUGUGAGAGCAUGAUCAGCCACACGGGCACUGAGACACGGGCCCGACUCCUACGGGAGGCAGCAGUAAGGAAUAUUGGUCAAUGGACGCAAGUCUGAACCAGCCAUGCCGCGUGGAGGAUGAAGGUCCUCUGGAUUGUAAACUUCUUUUAUCUGGGACGAAAAAAGGGUUUUCUAACUCGUCUGACGGUACCAGAUGAAUAAGCACCGGCUAACUCCGUGCCAGCAGCCGCGGUAAUACGGAGGGUGCAAGCGUUAUCCGGAUUCACUGGGUUUAAAGGGUGCGUAGGCGGGCAUUUAAGUCAGUGGUGAAAUACCUGAGCUUAACUUGGGAACUGCCAUUGAUACUAUUUGUCUUGAAUGUCGUGGAGGUUAGCGGAAUAUGUCAUGUAGCGGUGAAAUGCUUAGAUAUGACAUAGAACGCCUAUUGCGAAGGCAGCUAACUACGCGAAUAUUGACGCUGAGGCACGAAAGCGUGGGGAUCAAACAGGAUUAGAUACCCUGGUAGUCCACGCCCUAAACGAUGAUUACUCGACAUUAGCGAUACACUGUUAGUGUCUGAGCG
rnacentral:rRNA from 1 species